rnacentral:rRNA from 1 species
UAUAGUUCUUCGGAAUUAGAGACCGGCGCACGGGUGCGUAACGCGUAUGCAAUCUACCUUUCACAGAGGGAUAGCCCAGAGAAAUUUGGAUUAAUACCUCAUAGUAUAUAGAGUUGGCAUCAACAUUAUAUUAAAGUCACAACGGUGAAAGAUGAGCAUGCGUCCCAUUAGCUAGUUGGUAAGGUAACGGCUUACCAAGGCUACGAUGGGUAGGGGUCCUGAGAGGGAGAUCCCCCACACUGGUACUGAGACACGGACCAGACUCCUACGGGAGGCAGCAGUGAGGAAUAUUGGACAAUGGGCGCAAGCCUGAUCCAGCCAUGCCGCGUGCAGGAUGACGGUCCUAUGGAUUGUAAACUGCUUUUGCACAGGAAGAAACAACGCUACGUGUAGCGUCUUGACGGUACUGUGAGAAUAAGGAUCGGCUAACUCCGUGCCAGCAGCCGCGGUAAUACGGAGGAUCCAAGCGUUAUCCGGAAUCAUUGGGUUUAAAGGGUCCGUAGGCGGUUUGGUAAGUCAGUGGUGAAAGCCCAUCGCUCAACGGUGGAACGGCCAUUGAUACUGCCAGACUUGAAUUAUUAGGAAGUAACUAGAAUAUGUAGUGUAGCGGUGAAAUGCUUAGAGAUUACAUGGAAUACCAAUUGCGAAGGCAGGUUACUACUAAUGGAUUGACGCUGAUGGACGAAAGCGUGGGUAGCGAACAGGAUUAGAUACCCUGGUAGUCCACGCCGUAACGAUGGAUACUANCUGUUGGGAGCGAUCUCAGUGGCUAAGCGAAAGUGAUAAGUAUCCCNCCUGGGGGAGUACGUUCGCAAAAUGAAACUCAAGGAAUNGACGGGGGCCCCCNAANCGGGNANCUG